rnacentral:rRNA from 1 species
CCCUUAGAUGCUCUGGGCCGCACGCGCGCUACACUGACUACUUCAACGAGUUGUUUCCUUGAUCGAAAGGUCUGGGUAAUCUUUGAAAGGUAGUCGUGAUGGGGAUAGAUCCUUGCAAUUUUUGAUCUUCAACGAGGAAUUCCUAGUAAACGCAAGUCAUCAGCUUGCAUUGAUUACGUCCCUGCCCUUUGUACACACCGCCCGUCGCACCUACCGAUUGAAUGGUCCGGUGAAUCUUUAGGACUGUGGCUGAGGCCUUGCCUUGUGCGGGUCUGGCCGUGGGAAUUUAGUUAAACCUUACCAUUUAGAGGAAGGUGAAGUCGUAACA